UACGUAGGGGGCAAGCGUUGUCCGGAAUCAUUGGGCGUAAAGCGCGUGUAGGCGGUUCAGUAAGUCUGCUGUGAAAGUCCAGGGCUCAACCCUGGGAUGCCGGUGGAUACUGCUGGGCUAGAGUACGGAAGAGGCGAGUGGAAUUCCCGGUGUAGCGGUGAAAUGCGCAGAUAUCGGGAGGAACACCAAUUGCGAAGGCAGCUCGCUGGGACGUUACUGACGCUGAGACGCGAAAGCUUGGGGAGCAAACAGG
rnacentral:rRNA from 1 species